rnacentral:rRNA from 1 species
AUUGCCCUAGUAACGGCGAGUGAAGCGGCAACAGCUCAAAUUUGAAAUCUGGCUCCUUCUGGGGUCCGAGUUGUAAUUUGUAGAGGGUGCUUUGGCGUCGGCCAUGGUCUAAGUUCCUUGGAACAGGGCGUCACAGAGGGUGAGAAUCCCGUACGUGGCCGCUGGCCUUCGCCAUGUAAAGCCCCUUCGACGAGUCGAGUUGUUUGGGAAUGCAGCUCUAAAUGGGAGGUAAAUUUCUUCUAAAGCUAAAUAUUGGCCAGAGACCGAUAGCGCACAAGUAGAGUGAUCGAAAGAUGAAAAGCACUUUGGAAAGAGAGUCAAAAAGCACGUGAAAUUGUUGAAAGGGAAGCGCUUGCAGCCAGACUUGCCCGUAGUUGCUCAUCCGGGUUUCGGCCCGGUGCACUCUUCUGCGGGCAGGCCAGCAUCAGUUCAGGCGGUCGGAUAAAGGUCCCGGGAAUGUGGCUCUCUUCGGGGAGUGUUAUAGCCCGGGGCGCAAUGCGGCCAGCUUGGACUGAGGUCCGCGCAUCUGCUAGGAUGCUGGCGUAAUGGCUGUAAGCGGCCCGUCUUGAAACACGGACCAAGGAGUCUAACAUCUAUGCGAGUGUUUGGGUGUCAAGCCCGAGCGCGUAAUGAAAGUGAACGGAGGUGGGAACCCGCCAGGCGCACCAUCGACCGAUCCUGAUGUCUUCGGAUGGAUUUGAGUAAGAGCAUAGCUGUUGGGACCCCGAAGAUGGUGAACUAUGCCUGAAUAGGGUGAAGCCAGAGGAAACUCUGGUGGAGGCUCGCAGCGG